CUCCCAACUCCCAAGUCCCACUCCUCUUCUGUUCUUUGACUCUUUCUAGCCUUCUUCCGUUCUUCGUUCUUUCACGGUGAGUCGGUGAUGGAUUGACAUUCUUUCUCAUUCCCCAUCCAGCAUCUAGCGAUCCCGAUCAGCACUCCAACAUAGCAGCACUCCCCAUCGUCGCCAUCGCCCAUCGACAUCAUAGAUCGAUCCGUCGCACCCGUAGGUCCCUCACCUUCUUCGUUCUGUUUUGCUGCAGAUCGCAUUGUCUCAUCUGCAGGGCCUGCACCUUUUUCGUUCUGUUUUGCCGCAGAUCACACCACCGCAGAUAAUAAUGAUGAAGAUUUGGAGACAUCAUUCCUGUCCAAAGAAGACUCAAAUGUUUUGAUUGAGGAUGAAGAUUGAGAAAAACAUUAAUUAGUCUUGAAGUUUAUGAAUAUUUGAUUAUGUAUUUAUGUAGUUAUGUUGAUGGGAUUGUAGUUUGUGUAAUUGUGUUAAAGAUUAAAAAUUUAAAAUUUUAUUUAUAUUUGAUGUAAUGUAUUUACUUAUUUAUAUUUAACGUAAUUUAUUUGUUUGUAA